GAUGAACGCUGGCGGCGUGCCUAAUACAUGCAAGUCGAGCGAACAGACGAGGAGCUUGCUUUUCUGACGUUAGCGGCGGACGGGUGAGUAACACGUGGAUAACCUACCUAUAAGACUGGGAUAACUUCGGGAAACCGGAGCUAAUACCGGAUAAUAUAUUGAACCGCAUGGUUCAAUAGUGAAAGACGGUUUUGCUGUCACUUAUAGAUGGAUCCGCGCUGCAUUAGCUAGUUGGUAAGGUAACGGCUUACCAAGGCAACGAUGCAUAGCCGACCUGAGAGGGUGAUCGGCCACACUGGAACUGAGACACGGUCCAGACUCCUACGGGAGGCAGCAGUAGGGAAUCUUCCGCAAUGGGCGAAAGCCUGACGGAGCAACGCCGCGUGAGUGAUGAAGGUCUUCGGAUCGUAAAACUCUGUUAUUAGGGAAGAACAAAUGUGUAAGUAACUGUGCACGUCUUGACGGUACCUAAUCAGAAAGCCACGGCUAACUACGUG
rnacentral:rRNA from 1 species